AAACCCAACUUUGGUAGGGUUAUUAACCUUUUUCUUAUGGUCAUGUAACACAACAUCUAAACCUAGCUACAAACUGCAAACCUUUCACUUCGCCGCCGCACCAAAUAGAAACAAUUCCUAUCUCUCAAUGUAGCCAUAAACUUCUUCAACAGACGUAUCCUUCAUCCUUUUGUCCCAUUUUAAUUUCUUCUUCGUCCAUUCAUCUAUCAUCGUACACUCCACUUUUUUUUUUUUUACCUAAUUUCUGUUGGUUACCAUCUUUCAAUCUCCUGUCCAAGCUUGUCAUGCGGUCUCCUCCACCUGUAUCCUUCACCCAACAAACAGGUGCACAGUUUAGCUGUAAAUUGUUGAAGAUCUCAUCUUAUGAGGAUCAUUGAAUAGAUUGUCUGUGUUUCUUUUUCCAUUGUCGUCGUCGGCCAUGUGCAUCAAUCUCUUCCCAAAGUGGAUCAUGCUGAUGAAUCUUUCAACAACCAUGAUUUCCUUGAUUAAUUAUAUAAUAAAGUCUCUGUCUUAAUGGUGACAUGACUUUAUUUUAUUUUAUAUUUUUUAUAUUAUAUUUAUCUUAAUUAGAAAAAAAAUUUGUAAAAAAAAUAUUUAUAAGAAUGAUGAAUGUAUAUUCAAAAAUUUAUUUUUAUGAUUUUUUUAUGAUUGAAGUAUAUGUUUUUGUGAAAAUUUUAUUUUCAUAAUUAAAAUUAUGUGCUUUUAUUAUUGUACAAACAUGGUAUCAUAAUGUAUACAAGAAUUUCUCUUAUACCUGUCUAUAAAAUUUGUAUGUAUAGAUCAAUGCAAUGCAUGUCAAGAAUUUAUUUUCAUGAUUUUUUAUGAUUGAAGUAUGUGUUUUAUACAAAUUUUAUUAGAUUUUAAUUAUAUGGAUUCAGGCGUGUGAAAAAUAUUAUAUUUGGGAUGUGGAUCAAAUUAAUGUUUUUUUAAAAAAUAAAAAACAGAUAUAAAAAAAGCAAAAAUGCUAAUUAGUAUUCUAAGAUCACUAAUUAGGGAAUAAAAAAAUGAAUUGAUUAUUUUUGGAAUUAAUUAGACUUAAUUGUAUAUUUUAUUUUAAUUUUUGGUGAAUUUUAUCUUAAUAUUUUUUAAUUGAUACAUUUUUUUCAACUUUUAAUAAAUUUGUAAAUUUUACCCCGAUUUUUUUCAUUAAUAAGUAUAAAAGUUGGGAUAAAAUUUGCAAAAAAUGAAAAAUUGAAUGUAAAAUUUGUCAAAAAAGUAAUAUAUUUGAGAUAAAAGUAUAAUUAUGUUAGGAAAAAAAUAAUAGAAAGUAAAACUUGUAAAUUUCUUAUAAAUUAGAGGUGAAGUACACUAGAUUAAUUUGUUGGGUUAAAUUUUUUUUAAAAUUAAAAAAUUGAGAGUAAAAAACAAUGAAGCCGAUUAAUUAAUAUGUUCAGGUAUAGGUAUUGUUAAUUGAUAGAAGGUAUUGUUAAUUUUUUAAACAUAUAUAAAUUUAAUAAGAAAAUAGACAAUUAUUAAGAGGCCAAGCUCUCUAAUUAGCCCACCGUAAACUCCAUUAUAAACAAUCCUACUUUAUAACAGAUGGCUUUUCUUUUUAGAUAAGCUUAUUAUUGAUGGCUUUUAUCUCACCAUAAAUUUAAAAUUGCGCUAUUUUUACUCACAGAUUAUUGAGGGCCUUUCCCUCAAUAUUAUUGUUGAGGUCAAAAUUAUCAAUGAAAAAGUCCAUUGUCAAUUGUAUAAAAAAAUUAAUACUUUCACCCACUUAUUACUGGUUAAUUGUAGAGCAUUUAGCGCACUAACCCGACCCGGUCGUACAAUAGUAAAAAAUAAAAAAUAUUAAUAUUAUUAAUAAUAAUAUAAUAAAAUUUAAAAAAUAAAAAUCUUAACUCUUUUUAUGCAACAAAUUUACAUACUCAAAUGUAAUUAUAUUGGACAUUUUAAAGAAAAUCAUUUUAAAAAAUCUGUUAUAAAAAUUUUAAUUUUUAAAUUUCAUAACUCAAUUAAGCUAACUCAAUCCAAUCGAUCGAAUUAGAUUAGGUUGAGUUUGGCAAUAAAAUUAUUAGAACCCGACUUAAUGUAAUUUGAUAUUUUUUAAUUAGACUGAGUCUGACAGCAAAAUUAUUAUAACCUGAUUUAAUUCAAUCUGAGAUUUUUUAAUUUGGUUGAAUUUGAUAGUAAAAUCACUAUACUUCGAUUGUUUUCGUGUGACUUUCAACAUUCAUGAUGAGAUCAUCUUUGUUUCAUGGUGGCUUCGAACAUUUCAUCCUUAAAGAUUCGUAAAUUUGUAUAGUACUCUACACGCGUUCUCUUGAGGCAAAAGCGUUUGUUAUUUUUCAUAUUACAUCUCUUAGCAGGUCCGAUGGUUAAUUCGAAAACUUCGAUGCAUUUGAAUUCUGAUUCCUUUUUUUAACUAUAAUAUGUGAAUCAGAGAAAGGACACAAUUCACGAAUCGGUGAAAGCUUCAGACCUACCAGUUAGUGUUUUUAUCCCAACUCGUGAAUUUAGUGCUAUAUUAAAGACCAAAAAGGGUAACAUACAUAUACAUAAUGAAAAUUUUCAAAUAAAAAAAAAGAUAUGAUCUCAUUUGUGUUUCAAUCAAGAAAAUGCCUAGUCAGAGUUGGGAAGGUAAACAACAAAUAAAGGUGAUAGAAUAAGAAAACUAAGGGCAAUGGCAUGCCACUGUACAAUACUCGAUGUCCAUGGUUCUUGCGUUUAAGUUGAAUUUGACACAUUCGCAAAUGUGCAUUGUAUGCAUAGGGAGGGAUGUUAGUUUUUAACAUUUUCUCUUUGUUAUCAGCCUUUUUCUAAUCCCAUAUAUGCAGAUGGUGAAUCCACAACGACAACAAACAUCAGGACUACUUCCGGAUUCUCGCGCUGGAAGGACAAUAAACAAUUUGGAGAUCCAAAAUGGCUAGAAAGGAUCGAACAUUUCAGAUUGAGCAAUCCAAAAUAAGACCUUUCCAGGGACCCU
rnacentral:lncRNA from 1 species